rnacentral:rRNA from 1 species
GAUGAACGCUGGCGGCGUGCCUAAUACAUGCCAGUCGAGCGAACAGACGAGGAGCUUGCUCCUCUGACGUUAGCGGCGGACGGGUGAGUAACACGUGGAUAACCUACCUAUAAGACUGGGAUAACUUCGGGAAACCGGAGCUAAUACCGGAUAAUAUAUUGAACCGCAUGGUUCAAUAGUGAAAGACGGUUUUGCUGUCACUUAUAGAUGGAUCCGCGCCGCAUUAGCUAGUUGGUAAGGUAACGGCUUACCAAGGCAACGAUGCGUAGCCGACCUGAGAGGGUGAUCGGCCACACUGGAACUGAGACACGGUCCAGACUCCUACGGGAGGCAGCAGUAGGGAAUCUUCCGCAAUGGGCGAAAGCUUGACGGAGCAACGCCGCGUGAGUGAUGAAGGUCUUCGGAUCGUAAAACUCUGUUAUUAGGGAAGAACAAAAGUGUAAGUAACUAUGCACGUCUUGACGGUACCAAUCAGAAAGCCACGGCUAACUACGUG